AUGCUGCGCAUCGGAAAUCGAGGCCGAGCAGAGCGUCGAGGGGGCGCCAACGCACCGCGUGCUCAGGAGCGCCGAGCGGUUGACGGCGAGCGUCACCGCGCCACACGUCGGGGCUGCCGUUGCCCUGCGCGUCUCCGCAUGAUGGAGGCAGGGAGUCGGUGUAAAGCGCCUGAGGGCCCGCCACCGUUUCCGACGCCAGAGGCCAAGCCGGUGGUGCCGGUGUUCCAGUCCAGUCCAUCAUGGGGCCGAGGCCAGACGAAGCCGAUGCCGUCGUCAUUGACGUUCUUGAUGGCCUGA
rnacentral:rRNA from 1 species